AUACCGGGCCUUUUUGGGCUUGGUAAUUGGAAUGAGGGAGAGUUAAACGGACCAUCGAGUAUCCAUUGGAGGGCAAGUCUGGUGCCAGCAGCUGCGGUAAUACCAGCUCCAAUAGCGUAUAUUAAAGUUGUUGCAGUUAAAAAGCUCGUAGUUGGACUUGUGUGCGCUGUCCGCGGGUGGCCUGCGCCCAAAAGGGCGUUUCGGUUCGGCCCCGGUGGCGCCUUGAAAUCUGCAGCUGGGGGGACGUUGGCCUUAACUGGUCGGCGACCGCACGCCGGCUGCUCGGUUACCGUGAGAAAAUUAGAGUGUUCAAGGCAGGCAUUGGGUGCAAUUGAAUACAUUAGCAUGGAAUAAUAAAAUAUGGCUCCUGCCGUAUUUUGUUGGUUUUGACUGGUGGGAGUAAUGAUUGAUAGGGACGGUUGGGGGUGCUAGUAUUGAGCGGCCAGAGGUGAAAUUCAUGGAUUCGCUCAAGACUAACUUAUGCGAAAGCAUUCACCAAGGACGUCCUCUUUAAUCAAGAACGAAAGUUGGGGGAUCGAAGACGAUCAGAUACCGUCGUAGUCUCAACCAUAAACUAUGUCGACUUGGGAUCGGCGGUAGUUUUUUCAUUAAGACACUGUCGGGACCACGGGAGAAAUCAAAGUGUCUGGACUCUGGGGGAAGUAUGGUCGCAAGGCAGAAACUUGAAGGAAUUGACGGAAGGGCACCACCAGGAGUGGAGCCUGCGGCUUAAUUUGACCCAACACGGGGAAACUUACCAGGUCCAGAGAUGUAGAGGAUUGACAGAUUGAAGCUCUUUCUUGAUCACUUCGGUGGUGGUGCAUGGCCGUUCUUAGUUGGUGGAGUGAUUUGUCUGGUUAAUUCCGUUAACGAACGAGACCUCAGCCUGCUAGUGUAGUCGGCUGGAUUGCCUUUGGCGAUCCGUGAUUUCGACUUCUUAGAGGGACAAUCGACGCGCAGUCGAUGGAAGUUUGAGGCAAUAACAGGUCUGUGAUGCCCUUAGAUGUCCUGGGCCGCACGCGCGCUACACUGCUGGGCUCAGCGAGUUUUACUUGGCCGAGAGGCCCGGUUAAUCUUGUGAAAUCCCAGCGUGCUUGGGCUCGCCUCCUGCAACUGGAGGCGCCAACGAGGAAUUCCUAGUAGACGCAGGUCAUCAACCUGCAUCGAUUACGUCCCUGCCCUUUGUACACACCGCCCGUCGUUCCAUAAGAGUGAGGCAUCCGGUGAAUUCUCGGGAGAGCCUGGGCGUGGCCAGCAAUGGUCUGCUCGGGUUUGAACUUGCAUAAACUUGGUGCCUAUGAUUAGGG
rnacentral:rRNA from 1 species